rnacentral:rRNA from 1 species
AGUGAACGCUGGCGGUAUGCCUAACACAUGCAAGUCGAACGGCAGCACAGUAAGAGCUUGCUCUUACGGGUGGCGAGUGGCGGACGUGUGAGGAAUACAUCGGAAUCUACUUUUUCGUGGGGGAUAACGUAGGGAAACUUACGCUAAUACCGCAUACGACCUACGGCUGAAAGCAGUGGAUCUUCGGACCUUGCGCGAUUGAAUGAGCCGAUGUCGGAUUAGCUAGUUGGCGGGGUAAAGGCCCACCAAGGCGACGAUCCGUAGCUGGUCUGAGAGGAUGAUCAGCCACACUGGAACUGAGACACGGUCCAGACUCCUACGGGAGGCAGCAGUGGGGAAUAUUGGACAAUGGGCGCAAGCCUGAUCCAGCCAUACCGCGUGGGUGAAGAAGGCCUUCGGGUUGUAAAGCCCUUUUGUUGGGAAAGAAAAGCAGCAGGUUAAUACCCCGCUGUUCUGACGGUACCCAAAGAAUAAGCACCGGCUAACUUCGUG